rnacentral:rRNA from 1 species
CGGGACGGGUGAGUAAUGUCUGGGAAACUGCCUGAUGGAGGGGGGUAACUACUGGAAACGGUAGCUAAUACCGCAUAACGUCGCAAGACCAAAGAGGGGGACCUUGGGCCUCUUGCCAUCGGAUGUGCCCAGAUGGGAUUAGCUAGUAGGUGGGGUAACGGCUCACCUAGGCGACGAUCCCUAGCUGGUCUGAGAGGAUGACCAGCCACACUGGAACUGAGACACGGUCCAG